rnacentral:rRNA from 1 species
UCGUGAGACAGUUCGGUCCCUAUCCGUCGUGGGCGUAGGAAAUUUGAGAGGAGCUGUCCUUAGUACGAGAGGACCGGGAUGGACAUACCUCUGGUGUACCAGUUGUCGUGCCAACGGCAUAGCUGGGUAGCUAUGUGUGGACGGGAUAAGUGCUGAAAGCAUCUAAGCAUGAAGCCCCCCUCAAGAUGAGAUUUCCCAACUUCGGUUAUAAGAUCCCUUAAAGAUGAUGAGGUUAAUAGGUUCGAGGUGGAAGCAUGGUGACAUGUGUAGCUGACGAAUACUAAUCGAUCGAAGACUUAAUCAAAA